ACACACACAGACACAGACACAUAUACACACGCACGCACACAUGCACGCACACAACAUGGGAUCUCAACAGAAUUAAAAGGAUUCCUGGACAACAGGGUUUGGAGGAAAGCUUAGGGUUGGGUGUGUGUGUGAGAAGCCUGGUUGCCAUGGCAGCUGGAAGAACCCAGACAAUGUGUAUGUUGUGCUAUGGAGGGAUGAUAGGGGGGGGUAAACGCCGGUUGUUACGUAAGCUAUCUGGGUCAAGCACACUGGUUCCCAUUACCCAUUCAGCUUGCUGGCACUUGGAAGAAGACUUUCUGCUAGUAUAACUCAGGAAUCUAUUUAAACCUCUGUCUCCUUCAUCAGCCUGUCCCUGAGCUGCAAGCAGUGUCUGUCACCAGGAUUACAAAUAUCUUUAUGGUUCUGCAAAAGAGAAUUCUAAUUUAAGUACAUUAAGCACCACCAUCAGGAGACAGCUUUACUUGACAAAUAAAGCAAGAUUGCCUUGCCAGUUGACCAUGCUGGUCCGAGUUCAAGGAGGCACAGACACCGUGUGAAGAACCUGAUGAGGUUGGGGGCUAAAGUGCCAUGUGCUGUCCUCCUCCGUGUGUGUGCGUGAACGGUGUAAGUGUUUGCUGCCAUGUCUCAGGCGAGUUUGAGACAUUUGAAAGUGUAUUAUCAGUGUUGCUGCGGCUGCUGUUUCUGUUAACAUCACAGGGCCACCUCAAAGAGUCGCGUUAACUAAUGAGAAGUUUCUGUGCAUCUGAAAGCCAUCACGUGACCCCUAAGUGCACCCAGUGGCGGGGUGUUUAGGGACAAAGUGACAUGACGCUGAAGUCAAGGUCGCAUGCUUAACCUGAGCAGCUGGGAAAGCAGGCAGCAUGCUGGGAAGAGGACACCAGAGCAACCUGUCCCCAUGUAAGAUCUCUGCAGCUGCGGCCCAGGCUUAAGUGACUCUGCAACAAGCCACUAGCAGACAGUUGGCAAACCUUUCUUGGAGCACCUUGUCCAAAUGAAUCACAUUCACUGUACAGAAACUGGGAAAAGCUGCUUCACACUAUGUAAGCGGUCAGAUUGCCGGACUGGAUAAGAACCCUAAACAAAUAUUUGCCAGAGGAUUAAAACAUCUGAACUGUACGUACGGAGCUCCGCAGAGUCUUCCACAGAACAGGCCCUGGCACAGAACCCCAUAAAGCACUUAACAACACUUACAGGACCAACGCAAACAUGGUAUCAAAUGAAGGCAACUCAGGUUUUCUUUUCAAUGAGUUGGCUCAAUUAACGCUUUAAACACUGACAGACUUCACUCUUCUGGUCUUUGGCUGUUAACAUGAUACACAACCUGCCAUGACAAGCCGUGGGGUGAGUUAUCACCUUCUGGUUGAAGACAGAAGCAGAGUGAUAUCAAAUAUCAUUCAUUACAUGUGUACAUGCUCCUAAACCUGAUCAUAGACUUAAACAAAGUGUGAAGAUAAUUUCUGUAACCCUGAAGAAAAGAGUGGAAGGCAUGAUUAUAUACAAAGCAUAUCAUGUGAAAACUAAUCUUAUUUCUGCAGGUCUGAAUUCCCAUAACACAAUAAAGUCUACAGCAAGGUGGAA